rnacentral:rRNA from 1 species
AGAACGAACGCUGGCGGCAGGCCUCAAACAUGCAAGUCUAGGGGGUGUAGCAAUACAUCACCGGCGGACGGGUGCGUAACACGUGGGAAUAUACCUUUUGGUUCGGAACAACGCAGGGAAACUUGCGCUAAUACCGAAUGUGUCCUUACGGAGAAAGAUUUAUCGCCAAAGGAUUAGCCCGCGUCCGAUUAGCUAGUUGGUGAGGUAACGGCUCACCAAGGCUCCGAUCGGUAGCUGUUCUGAGAGGAAGAUCAGCCACACUGGGACUGAGACACGGCCCAGACUCCUACGGGAGGCAGCAGUUGGGAAUCUUGGACAAUGGGGGAAACCCUGAUCCAGCCAUGCCGCGUGAGUGAUGAAGGCCUUCGGGUUGUAAAACUCUUUCGACGGGGACGAUAAUGACGGUACCCGUAGAAGAAGCUCGGCUAACUUCGUGCCAGCAGCCGC